GAUCCUGAGUACGGCGGAACACGUGAAAUUCCGUCGGAAUCCGGGAGGACCAUCUCCCAAGGCUAAAUACUCCCUAGUGACCGAUAGUGAACCAGUACCGUGAGGGAAAGGUGAAAAGCACCCCGGAAGGGGAGUGAAACAGUUCCUGAAACCGUGUGCCUACAAGUAGUUAGAGCCCGUUAAUGGGUGAUAGCGUGCCUUUUGUAGAAUGAACCGGCGAGUUACGAUUUGUUGCAAGGUUAAGCGGAAAAAGCGGAGCCGUAGCGAAAGCGAGUCUGAAUAGGGCGCAUAAGUAACAGGUCGUAGACCCGAAACCAGGUGAUCUACCCAUGUCCAGGAUGAAGGUAAGGUAAUACUUACUGGAGGUCCGAACCCACGCACGUUGAAAAGUGCGGGGAUGAGGUGUGGGUAGCGGAGAAAUUCCAAUCGAACUUGGAGAUAGCUGGUUCUCUCCGAAAUAGCUUUAGGGCUAGCCUCGAGGUAAAGAGUCAUGGAGGUAGAGCACUGUUUGGACUAGGGGCCCUUCUCGGGUUACCGAAUUCAGAUAAACUCCGAAUGCCAUGUACUUAUACUCGGGAGUCAGACUGCGAGUGAUAAGAUCCGUAGUCGAAAGGGAAACAGCCCAGACCACCAGUUAAGGUCCCCAAAUAUAUGUUAAGUGGAAAAGGAUGUGGGGUUGCUUAGACAACCAGGAUGUUGGCUUAGAAGCAGCCACCAUUGAAAGAGUGCGUAAUAGCUCACUGGUCGAGUGACCCCGCGCCGAAAAUGUACCGGGGCUAAACAUAUUACCGAAACUGUGGAUGAACCUCUUUAGAGGUUCGUGGUAGGAGAGCGUUCUAAGGGCGGUGAAGUCAGACCGGAAGGACUGGUGGAGCGCUUAGAAGUGAGAAUGCCGGUAUGAGUAGCGAAAGAAGGGUGAGAAUCCCUUCCACCGAAUAUCUAAGGUUU
rnacentral:rRNA from 1 species